CCGAGGUGCCGGCUCUGCUCCGGCUUCCCGCAGCGCGGAAGACGCUCGGUCGGGUUGGGUCUACCGGGAUCACAGCGUCCUGCAGAGGCGCAGGAGCAGAAGUCCCAGUGCGCGCGCAGCCGCACAGAGCGCCGCCGCCGGGGGUCAGAAAACAGCCCAGCGGGCACUUCCGCCCUCCGAACCAGAGCGAACCGCAGCGCCCGUAGCCCACCGUAAGUCCAGUCACCCUCGGCGCCCGGAGAUGACGUCACCCGCCCACGUGGCCAGCGCCCCGCCCUCUGAGUUCCGCCCAACCGGGCAAGACCCGAGCUGCUCCUGAGCGUGCGCAGAGACAAGGAGCGCCUGAGCUCGCAUUGAGUCCGCUGGUUUCCUUCUUGGACCAACAGAACGCGUACGUUGGUGUUCCCGGUUGUCAGUUGUAGAAGAACAGAGAAAUAAAGGACCCUGAGACGUCCGCUGCCGCGGUAGCGGCAUUUUUCUCUUCCUCACAAAACAGUAUUGUAAAAACCUUACUGUUAAGAGUGAUUGGGGUGGUUUGGUUGGGCUAGAGUCAGGACAGAGGUGUCAAGCUGCAACUACAGCAGAUCUGGGACUUAAGGAGUUUGUCUCGGGCUGCUCAGCCUCCCAAGUGCGAGAACUGCAGACGCGAGCCACCACACCUGGCUUUCAAGGAACUUUUCGGUUUCAUGAGGUCCCAUUCACUAACUGGUGUUCUCAGUGUUUGCCCCGUCUGUGUUCUACUCAGUCAUCUCCUACGGCAAUGCACCCAAGCUUAGUCACCACUUUCUCCUCUGUCAGGUCCGGUGUAUCCGGUUUUCUGUUGAGAUCUUCGAUGCACUUGCACUUGAGUUCUGCAGGAUGAUGAGUGUCUCAGUUCUCCAGAUAAAACUUCAAGUACUGUAUUAAAUGGAUAUGAAGAGAACAAACAGCCUUGCUUUGUUCCUGAUUUUAGUGGAGUUUCUUAAAGUUUCUAUCCAUUUUUGGAAAAUAAUUUGAGGAGUAUUGGCAUUAACUCUUCUUUGUGCUCUGGGCUUGUUUUGGUUGAUUUUGAUGACUGCUCUUCAGUAGGAAUUAUAAGUCUGUUUCAAAUGUUUACCUUAUUGUCUUAGUCAAAGUUUGUAUUUCUGCACCAAACAUCAUAACUUGGCCUUCUCCCUUGCAGUUUUAAUAUUUUUUCAGUAUGUUUUGUGUUUUUAUUAUUAUAUGCUGAAAGGACUCUCUAUUUUGGUUUGAUCUAUUUCGUGUUCUGUAUGCUUCUUGUAUGCAUCUUCUUCUCUAGGUUGUAAAAUUUUUCUUCUAUGAUUUUGUUCAAUAUAUUUUCUGAAACUUCAAACUGCUUUCUGUCUUAUUAUGAGGCUUCCAGGACCCACAUGCAAUUUAAAUAAGACACAGAGACGUCUAUGUAGUUUAAAGCUGUUGGCCUUGUCCUAGGUCAAUCUCUCAGCUAGCUCAUCUAAAUUUAUCCUAACUUCUCUGCCUCCUGUCUCCUCAUGUGAUUCUCACUAUCUGCUCUCUCCAUUCUGCUUCUUUCUGUGUCUCCGUCCAUCUGUGCAUCUCUUUGAGUCUCCUGCAUCUCCUUCCCUCUCUACCUAGGAGUCCCUCCCUAGAUCCAGCUCCAGGUUUGGCCAUCAGCUCUUUAUUAUACAAAAAGCAUAGUCCAGCCUUUACCAAUCAGCAGCAAGAUGAUCUGGUCCAUCUCUUAGGGUGGCCCUUAGGCAAUGAGGCCCAUCUGACCUUCAUCUUUGGGCAGGUGAGGAAGGGCAAGCAUUUCCAUAUAGAAAACCAGUGAUGGGCUAGAAAUGACAGUACCAAGAUCCUGUUAGGUUUUACAAUUAACAAUUGAAAAAUACAGGGACAUACCUUCAAAGGGAAGAUCACCCCGACAUCUUCCCCUUUGUCUUAGCGUUUUUCAUUGCUGUGAGCAGAUACCAAUGACCAGGGAAAUUCUUAUUAAGGACAACAUUUAAUUGGGGCUGGCUUACAGGUUCUGAGGUUCAGUCCAUUAUCAUCAUGAUAGGAAGCAGUGUCCAGGGAGGCCUGGUCCUGAAGGAGCUGAGAGUUCUACAUCUUGUUCCAAAGGCAAACAGGACACGGCUUCUUUCUAUAAACUGAGGUUGCUGUUGGGGUAUUUGUUGCUACUACCGCCCCAAAUUACUGCAAGCUGUUUACCAAUCUUCACAGAUGACAUAAUUUUAUCAUUGAUAUACAGUAUUUUAAUCCCUACUGGGUCUGUUCCUGAUAAUUGACAAAGUCUUAAUCUUCCUUUUACAAUCAAGUCAGGACCUUUUACAUAGGUCUCAAUUUUUUUACUCUGUUUAUAUGCUAAAAAUAUCCAUUCUAAGACAAUAAUCUUUCCUCUGCAUAAGAAUUCCUGUGGGAGAAUGAGUAGAAGGCAAAAUAACUAAAAUCCCAUCAAUCUUUGGAUCCAAGCACUCCAUGUGUGCUUCCGGUAAUCUCUUUUCUACCAGAGCCAAUUUUCUCUCAGUUUUUACUGAUAAUUUUCCCAGACUAUUUAAUUCUGACUCACCUUGUAAGAUUUGAAAUAAAUUACUUAGCUCUUGAAUAGUUAAUCCGGUUUUAACCGAUAGCCAGUUAAUAUCUCCCAGCCAUUUUUGAAAAUCAUUAUGAGUUUGUAAUUGAUCUAUUAUUAUGUAUAUUUUCUGUGGAUGAAUUUUCUGUAAACCUAUCUUAUAUCCUAGAUAAUUAGUAGAAUCUUCUCUUUGUAUUUUUUUCAGGAGAAAUUCAUAUUCCCCAACAAGGCAAACUUAUCCUUCCUUCAUCAAAUAUUUCCCUGAGGAAUCUGAAUCAGCCAGUAAUAUAUUAUCCAUAUAAUGAUAAAUUAUAGAUUCAGGAAAUUGUUCAUGGGUAUGAACAUUGUUCAUUCUAAUGGCUGUUGUACAAAUAUUGACAUAAGGGAACUUGGACGGUUGGGAAAACAAUGAUCCAGAGAGGCAUUGCCAUCCAUACGAUUCUGACAACAAGUUCACUGUGCUGUGUCCAGAGGCGAUGAGAAAGAAGUGAUGUGUCUCCACUUGAAGAGUCAUAUACAUGACAAGGAUAACAGACAACGGUCAGGGGCUUGGAAGCAAAGGAUGAGGGGCCAUGAGAUUAAAAAGGUCAUCCUGAGACAGCAGAACCGAGGACUCUUCAGAGGAAGCCUCCUCAGCGGAGAUGGUGCAGUUCCUAGGGGAGUGUAUCCCCAGCUCAGCUGAGGAGUUCAGGAACCUCAGCUCUGCCCCUCAUUUUUUCUCUUCUCUCAUUGCUUCUUGAGUUUUCCGGAUUGAGGAUUGAUGGGAGAUCAAAUUCUGUGCUUGGGGAGCACAGCAAUUGACAUCUCGGAUGCACCCAGGAAAAUGUGACUCUGAUUCCUUGAAGCACUGCUUAUUGAAGCACGGUGUUGUAAGGACUUCCUAACAGAUAUAUUUACACGGAGUGCCUUGCAGUAUACCAGAGUCCCAAAACGACAAGAAAGUCUAACUCAUCUUCAUCUGGGAAUUCGGCCAGAGAAGGGAGAGGAGGCACAGGGGCAGCUGCAGAUGGUUGCUCCCCAGCACCCUGCGUUCUUCAAUGUCCUCAACUACUACUCAGCUUGUGUAAUUUUUGAGACUCAUGGCCAGGAUCUAAAUCAUCCCUGAUUAAAGCCCACAAAGGAAAAGUAAGUACUGGGACCUUUUCAGGUCCAGGAACAGUGCAAUAAUCUGCUAAGCAUUUUCCAAUUUUCCCCCAAGUUUUCAUAUUUACCGUUCCUUGCUCUAGGAACCAAGGACAAACUUCCUCAAUAAACUUUAAAGAUCUCAUCAACAGUGAGAACUCACCUCAGCCCCUUGUGUCUUUAACUUGCCUUUAAGCAUUUGGACAAGCAACAGCCCACUGCUAGACAGUCCCAUUGCACAGCAUGCUGACUCUCUCUCUCUCUCUCUCUCUCUCUCUCUCUCUCUCUCUCUCUCUUCUCUCUCUCUCUGUUUUAAUUGAGCACUCCUCGGCAGUGGCCCUCACUGAAUCCCCAAGCUGUACCCAGCCUGCAGGUACAAGUCAACCUAGAACAGGAAUGGGGGAGUGAGGAUGAAAAGAGAGACACAAGGAAUGGACUCAAGCCUGAUCCUGGACAAGACUCAGUUUAGUACUGUUGGUCCAGCUUAUAAGCACUCCAGCAAACAAAGCUCUUCCUGAGAAAGAUCCUUUAAAGACUCAGUGUAGAUGAGAGUUCUCUUGACUGCACACACUGCUCUCUGACCUUGAGUGCACACACUGCUCUCUGACCUUGAGUGCACACACUGCUCUCUGACCUUCACUGCACACACUGCUCUCUGACCUUCA
rnacentral:sRNA from 1 species